UACAACAUAGCGUUAAUGCACUGGAUCCCAUUAGAACUCUACAGUAAAGCACGCUCGAGAUAGAGUAGUACUGGGAUGGGUGAUCGCCUGAGAAGUCCUAGUGUUUUAC
rnacentral:rRNA from 1 species